CACGUAGGGCGCAAGCGUUGUCCGGAAUUAUUGGGCGUAAAGAGCUCGUAGGCGGUCUGUUGCGUCCGCUGUGAAAACUCGGGGCUUAACCCCGAGCCUGCAGUGGAUACGGGCAGACUAGAGGCAGGUAGGGGAGAAUGGAAUUCCCGGUGUAGCGGUGAAAUGCGCAGAUAUCGGGAGGAACACCAGUGGCGAAGGCGGUUCUCUGGGCCUUACCUGACGCUGAGGAGCGAAAGCGUGGGGAGCGAACAGG
rnacentral:rRNA from 1 species